rnacentral:rRNA from 1 species
GAUGAACGCUAGCGGCAGGCUUAACACAUGCAAGUCGAGGGGUAUAGUUCUUCGGAACUAGAGACCGGCGCACGGGUGCGUAACGCGUAUGCAAUCUACCUUUUGCAGAGGGAUAGCCCCAGAGAAAUUUGGAUUAAUACCUCAUAGUAUAGCAGUUUCGCAUGAAACCACUAUUAAAGUCACAACGGCAAAAGAUGAGCAUGCGUCCCAUUAGCUAGUUGGUAAGGUAACGGCUUACCAAGGCUACGAUGGGUAGGGGUCCUGAGAGGGAGAUCCCCCACACUGGUACUGAGACACGGACCAGACUCCUACGGGAGGCAGCAGUGAGGAAUAUUGGACAAUGGGCGCAAGCCUGAUCCAGCCAUGCCGCGUGCAGGAUGACGGUCCUAUGGAUUGUAAACUGCUUUUGUACAGGAAGAAACACUCCCUCGUGAGGGAGCUUGACGGUACUG